rnacentral:rRNA from 1 species
GACGAACCGUGCGAACGUUGUUCGGAAUCACUGGGCUUAAAGGGCGCGUAGGCGGGCCGGCAAGUCAGGGGUGAAAUCCCACGGCUCAACCGUGGAAGUGCCUUUGAUACUGCCGGUCUGGAGGGAGGUAGGGGCGUGCGGAACUUCCGGUGGAGCGGUGAAAUGCGUAGAUAUCGGAAGGAACGCCGGUGGCGAAAGCGGCGCGCUGGACCUCUACUGACGCUGAGGCGCGAAAGCCAGGGGAGCAAACGGG